rnacentral:rRNA from 1 species
GAUGAACGCUGGCGGCGUGCCUAAUACAUGCAAGUCGAGCGACCCGCUUCGGUGGUGAGCGGCGAACGGGUGAGUAACACGUAGGUGAUCUGCCCAUCAGACGGGGACAACGAUUGGAAACGAUCGCUAAUACCGGAUAGGACGAAAGUUUAAAGGUGCUUCUGGCACCGCUGAUGGAUGAGCCUGCGGCGCAUUAGCUAGUUGGUAGGGUAAAGGCCUACCAAGGCGACGAUGCGUAGCCGACCUGAGAGGGUGAACGGCCACACUGGGACUGAGACACGGCCCAGACUCCUACGGGAGGCAGCAGUAGGGAAUCUUCGGCAAUGGGCGAAAGCCUGACCGAGCAACGCCGCGUGAAUGAUGAAGGCCUUCGGGUUGUAAAAUUCUGUUAUAAGGGAAGAACGACUUUAGUAGGAAAUGGCUAGAGUGUGACGGUACCUUAUGAGAAAGCCACGGCUAACUACGUGCCAGCCGCCGCAGUAA